UACGAAGGGGGCUAGCGUUGUUCGGAAUUACUGGGCGUAAAGCGCACGCAGGCGGCUCGUUAAAUCAGAAGUGAAAGCCCCGGGCUUAACCUGGGAAUUGCUUUUAAGACUGUCGGGCUAGAAUCCGGAAGAGGGUAGUGGAAUUCCGAGUGUAGAGGUGAAAUUCGUAGAUAUUCGGAGGAACACCAGUGGCGAAGGCGACUACCUGGUCUGGCAUUGACGCUCAUGUGCGAAAGCGUGGGGAGCAAACAGG
rnacentral:rRNA from 1 species